UACGAAGGGGGCUAGCGUUGUUCGGAAUCACUGGGCGUAAAGCGCACGUAGGCGGAUCUUUAAGUCAGGGGUGAAAUCCCGAGGCUCAACCUCGGAACUGCCUUUGAUACUGGGGAUCUCGAGUCCGGGAGAGGUGAGUGGAACUGCGAGUGUAGAGGUGAAAUUCGUAGAUAUUCGCAAGAACACCAGUGGCGAAGGCGGCUCACUGGCCCAUUACUGACGCUGAGGCACGAAAGCGUGGGGAGCAAACAGG
rnacentral:rRNA from 1 species